rnacentral:lncRNA from 1 species
AUUGCUCCUAAGACAAACCUCACGUCUUCAGCACAGCCUCCAAGCUAUGCACAAGCUGUCACCUGCCCAGGACUCCGCCCCUCUCUCCUCUCACUCCAGGUUCCAUCCCUUCCCUCCCUUCCUCCAGCAACCCAAGUGCCUCUUGCUACAGGCCCCGCCUGGUCUUUUCCAUGAGGUGCCAUCAGCCCCAUUUCUGGAAGAAGUAAGUGUCCCUGUCACACGCUCCUGCUGCCCCCCUCUGCAUCCCGGCCCUGACAGCAAGGCUGCAGGUAGCUGUCCCAGAAGGAGAGGGAAAGGGCUCAGCGCACCCAUCUUACGUUUGGAAAACUGCCACCUGCUUCCACCCCACAGGGCUCAGGGAGCUGCUUCAGAGCCGGUAAAAAAGUGAAAGAAAAAAAUGCGGAGGAUUUCACAUACUUUGGCUCAGGGCCUUGUUGGAAAUGAUCAGAGAAAUGUCCUUCGAGUGAAGCCCGAAGCCGCCAGCAUUGGUGUCUUCUGACCCUCCUGGCUGUUUGUAUACACCUGCAAGGACUGUAAUAUCCGGAGGCGUCUUGCCAAGAAUUGUCUGAAAAUGCCUCCCUCCUGGGCUUUGCUGUCAUGUGAGGAGUCAAGAUUCACUGGUGUCAGGGAUGUGAGGUUCUUUGACAGUUUUCCAGGCUUCUUCUGACAAAGUUUUGAACCGACUCUUCCUCAAGGUGACCUAUCUUCAGCAGAGCUGGAUCUUUUCUUCCUCAACUCUGUCAGGAGCAGGAGUGGGAGCUGGUCGCCUGGACCAGGCUGCAGAGCUGAGGCACCCAGCACUUUUUCUGCUCUGUGGUUCUUACUCUCAAGAACUGAGAGGAGUCAGUUAUGUUAGAAGCAGCUUUCUCCAAUUCCGGGGUUUAUGCCUUUUCCUUGCUCAGGACCUAGUAUUGCAUCAUUUGUUAUCCAUGGCAAUUUUGGUUCACUCAAGAGCCACUGCCAGAAAGUUGUCUUUCCCCACCCCCAGCAGCAAAGCAGCCCCCAAACAAGUCAUCUUAGGAAUUCCUCAAUUCCUGCAGAUGGGAAGGAGACAGCCACAGCGCAGCUCACGAUGGAAGCAGCACUGUCUUCCCCAGGCUACAGCCUCCAUUUGUAAAAUUCAAAGCCAUGCACAGAGACUGGGGGUGUGGAGCCUGUAAACCCUUUCAAGAAAAAAAUAAAAUAAAAACAAGCAUCAUAAGUAAAUAUCAAAACUAAGAGAGAUUUAGGAUGCUGGUGAGAAAUGUUUUCUAUUUAAUCUGACCAAGUUAUCUAAUAUCAAGUCUUAAGUGAUGCUGGGAGCUGCGAAUGGUCAUCUCACUCUUCCAGGGGUUUGUCCUUCCUCUCCACCCCCCAGCAAACCCCACACCUGUCGGGCUCAGCGGCAUCCUUGCUUACCCACCU